rnacentral:misc_RNA from 1 species
GAUCAUUAACGCGCAAGAGGUCGAAGUUGGCCCCCGAAGCUCUUCCGUCUCCCCCCCGGGCCUCCCGGGGAGGUUGCGGGCGGCGAGGGGUGCCUCCGGCCGCACGCCCAUUCUUGUCUACUGACCCGGUUGCCUCGGCGGGCCGCGCCUGCUGUGCUACAGCGGCCGUUCGGGGGGGACGCCUGAGGGGGACUCUUGUUUCCUAGGCCACGCCCCGGGCAGCGCUCGCCGGAGGAUUACUCUGGAAAACACACUCUUGAAAGAACAUACCGUCUGAGCGAGCAACGCAAAUCAGUUAAAACUUUCAACAACGGAUCUCUUGGUUCCGGCAUCGAUGAAGAACGCAGCGAAAUGCGAUAAGUAAUGUGAAUUGCAGAAUUCCGUGAAUCAUCGAAUCUUUGAACGCACAUUGCGCCCCCUGGCAUUCCGGGGGGCAUGCCUGUUCGAGCGUCAUUUCAACCCCUCAAGCCCGGCUUGUGUGAUGGACGACCGUCCCCCCUCCCCAGUAACCACCCACCGCUUAGGGGG